rnacentral:rRNA from 1 species
UACAGAGGGGGCAAGCGUUAUUCGGAAUUAUUGGGCGUAAAGGGCGCGUAGGCGGCCUGGCAAGUGGAAGGUGAAAUCCCUCGGCUUAACCGAGGAACUGCCCUCCAAACUGCUUGGCUUGAGUCCGGAAGAGGCGAGUGGAAUUCCUGGUGUAGCGGUGAAAUGCGCAGAUAUCAGGAGGAACACCGGUGGCGAAGGCGGAUCUCUGGGCCUUACCUGACGCUCAGGUGCGAAAGCUAGGGGAGCGAACAGG